GACGAACGCUGGCGGCGUGCCUAAUACAUGCAAGUAGAACGCUGAAGGAGGAGCUUGCUCUUCUGGAUGAGUUGCGAACGGGUGAGUAACGCGUAGGUAACCUGCCUGGUAGCGGGGGAUAACUAUUGGAAACGAUAGCUAAUACCGCAUAACAGUAGAUGUUGCAUGACAUUUACUUAAAAGGUGCAAUUGCAUCACUACCAGAUGGACCUGCGUUGUAUUAGCUAGUUGGUGGGGUAACGGCUCACCAAGGCGACGAUACAUAGCCGACCUGAGAGGGUGAUCGGCCACACUGGGACUGAGACACGGCCCAGACUCCUACGGGAGGCAGCAGUAGGGAAUCUUCGGCAAUGGACGGAAGUCUGACCGAGCAACGCCGCGUGAGUGAAGAAGGUUUUCGGAUCGUAAAGCUCUGUUGUAAGAGAAGAACGAGUGUGAGAGUGGAAAGUUCACACUGUGACGGUAUCUUACCAGAAAGGGACGGCUAAAUACGUG
rnacentral:rRNA from 1 species